rnacentral:misc_RNA from 1 species
GAAAUGCGAUAAGUAAUGUGAAUUGCAGAAUUCAGUGACUCAUCGAAUCUUUGAACGCACAUUGCGCCCGCCAGUAUUCUGGCGGGCAUGCCUGUUCGAGCGUCAUUUCAACCAUCAAGCCCCCGGCUUGUGUUGGGGACCUGCGGCUGCCCGCAGGCCCUGAAAAACAGUGGCGGGCUCGCUGUCACACCGAGCGUAGUAGCAUACAUUCUCGCUCAGGGCGUGCUGCGGGUUCCGGCCGUUAAACGACCUUCAUAACCCAAGGUUGACCUCGGAUCAGGUAGGAAGACCCGCUGAACUUAAGC